rnacentral:rRNA from 1 species
AUUGAACGCUGGCGGCAGGCCUAACACAUGCAAGUCGAACGAGUGGCGGACGGGUGAGUAAUGUCUGGGAAACCGCCUGAUGGAGGGGGAUAACUACUAGAAACGGUAGCUAAUACCGCAUACCAUCGGAUGUGCCCAGAUUGGAAUCGCUAGUAGGUGGGGUAAGGGCUAACCUAGGCGACGAUCCCUAGCUGGUCUGAGAGGAUGACCAGCCACACUGGAACUGAGACACGGUCCAGCCUCCUACGGGAGGCAGCAGUGGGGAAUAUUGCAAAAUGGGCGCAAUCCUGAUGCAGCCAUGCCGCGUGUAUGAAGAAGGCCUUCGGGUUGUAAAGUACUUUCAGCGGGGAGGCGUUACCCGCAGAAGAAGCACCGGCUAACUCCGUGCCAGCCGCCGCGGUAAUAC